rnacentral:lncRNA from 1 species
CUUAGCCAGUGGGUGAGGGUGUGGGGGGCAGUGGGAGGCUGGGCCUGCAGAAUAGCCUAAAGCUUCCCACUGCCAGGUUUUAUCUGGUUCCUGCUUGGCCUUCUGCCCUCCCUGCCCCAUUUCCCCUGCCCCUGCCCAUCUCCCUGGGAGAACUUCUUUAAAACAUCCUCAUCUCAGGGACAGCUCCUAGGAAGCCCAACCUGAGAUAUCUGCUUUUGUAUUUUUCAACCACUUGUCAGUACUUGGCAUGAUGCCAUGUCCCUUUUAUUCUGCCUAGAAUACAAGCCCCACAGGGGCAGGGGCUUGAUCAAUUUUAUUCACUCAUGUAUUCCCAUGCCUGGAGCCAUGUCUGGCACAUAGUAGGUGACCAAAAGAUAUUUUGUUGAAGAAAUUUUCUCAGUUCUCACAAUGACCCUGUGAAGGAAAAGUUUAUCACCCCCAUUUUACAAAUGAGGUUGCAGUCUCAAAGAAGUUUAAUGACUUAUCUACAUUGACGCUGACCGUGUGUGGCACAGCCAGGAUUCUAAGCUCUGCCUGUGUGACUGCAAACCAAACUCAGCUUUGAAACCCAAUCCCAUGUUUUUAGUUUCCAGAACAUUCCAGGAUAUUUUGUACCUCCUCAGUGCUUCUGAAACUGCUUCUUUUACAAAGAUAUAUCCCUACUCACACUCUGAACUGACCACCACAGUGCCCUUUGAGCUCCUUGGCUCCCUGGACAGAUUCCUUAUGGUUCUUUCUCAUGUUUGUUUUCUCUUUCUCUUCCUUGAAGUAUGAGAGUAAGACUUAAUCUUAUUUAUCUCUGCUUCCCUAGCACUUAAUUUGGACCUGGUAGAAGUCAUCAAUCUGUGAAUGUUUAUUGCAUGAAAGAAAGGAAGGAAAGCAGGGAGGGAGAGAGAAAGGAAAGGAAGACAGGAGAGAGGGAGGGAGGAGAGGAAGAUGGAGGAAGAUGUUCUGCACUGGGGAAACAGAGAGGGUGACCUCCAUAUGGACAGGAAAGGCAGUGGGAGGUUGCUGUGGAAGCCAGGGGAGACUUCUUGUCGUUGGUGGUGUGGAGACAGCUCUGAUCAGUCACCCCUUUAACUUUGGGUCAUGUUCUGGAGCAGAAUGUAAUCUGGUACCCAGCAGCCAACCUGGUAGUCAGUGAGGGCUGAGUAAAUGUUGAAGGAAUGAAUGAUAAUGUGGCAUAAAGAAUAAGACUCAAUUUGGAGUCUGAUUAUAAGGUUCGAAUUUGGUGGCCCCUUGUCCAGCUUUUCCUCCUCUUCCCCAGCAGCUGUUUCGGUCCAAGCAUCAUGUGUCUCCCCAGAUAUCACCUCCCUGUGGCUGUGCUUGGACAAGUUUUCUGUAAAGGGAACCGCCACAUCUGUUCUCUUCUGGCUUCAGCAGCCUUGUUGUUUAGAUGGUAAACUCAGUCUCCAUGGAUCAGCACAGGAGGCUCUUCCUGAGUGUGCAGUGAUAAGAAGAUGGAUGUCCCCUGGGGCCAAAUUGCCUGAGCUUGAAUCCUACCUAGAUUACUCCCUAGCCAUUUGGCUUGGAGAAAGUCACUUAAUCUCUCUUUAACUAUGUUGUCUCACCUAUAAAGCGGGGAUCAUAACAGUAGUUACAUAAUUGGAACUUGUAAAGACUCAUUGAGUUAUUGCUUAGGACGUUCCCAGGUCUACACAUGCUGACCAGCAAAUGAGUGCCCCUGUUUUAGCUUUUUUUUUGCUGCUGUGACUGAAGAAUCUGACCAGAACAAUUUUAGAGAAGGAAAAGUUUAUUUGAGGGCUCAUAUUGCAAGGUGGCCAGUGCCCCACCAGUAAUUUUUCUUGCACAGGAAGGGAUAAGCCACCUGAGAAAAUAAAGUCUGAAAUAAUCAGAGAAGAAAUGAAAGACAAAGUCAGAAAAAUAGGUUUAAAUGCAGAGCGCUUGAUAGGUCCAGCCCACACAGGAGCUGGAGUUGAAAGUUAAAAAAAAUGGCUCCUCCUUUAUUUAAGAGAGAGCAUCAAAAGCAGGGAUAAGGUUUUAGAGGUGGAGUCUUACUUCAUGAUGUCUUGCAGUCAACAGGUUGAUCGGCAUCUUGGCAAGCCACACCCAUCUCUGAGAAGCUGUGUGGCUACAGCAGGUCACCCCAUCUCCAGUGCUGUGUGGGACCUGGCAGAGUUGAAGAGAACUUCACCUGUAUCUGGGAGGUCUUAACCAGUGGGAUUGCCACUGGAAGUUCCCAGAUACCAGAUUUUUCUAUUCACUUGCUACAAUGCCACACAGAGUUCACAGAUGGCUCUCAACAGGCUCAUGGUUUCAGAGGUCUUAGUCCAUAAAAAGCAGGCUCCAUUCCUCAGGGCUUGAGGUGAACAUCAUGGUGGGAGAGGGUGACAGAGGAAAGCAGCUCACCUGUUAGUGACCAGGAGGCAGAGAGAGAGAUUCCACUUGCCAAAUACAAAUAUAUAUACCAAAGCCAUGCCCCAAUUCCUACUUCCUCCAGCCACACCCUACCAUUUCAGUUAAUCCCAUCAGGGAUUCACUCACUGAUUAGGCUAAGGCUAUAACCCAAUCAUUUCUCUUCCAAACCUUCUUGCAUUGUCUCACAAUGGAAGCUUUCGGAGGACAUGUCACAUCCAAACCAUAACAGUCCCUCUAGCUGAUCCAUCACCAUUUCUGUACCACCCCCUCCACCACCUUUUGCCAUUCCAUGUCCCCUCAUGUCUGGGUAACUUUGUCCAUACUGUCUCUUCUUGGAAUAUACUCUCCCCCAUUCUUCUCCCUGGAAAGAUCUUAUUUUUCAUCUUUCAAGUCUCAGUUCAGAUGUUGCCUCUAUGUCUGUUCAAUCUGUCUGGACUCUCCCAGGAUGUCCUGAGGGCUCUCUCCUGUGAUGGCUGCAUUGUAAACUGAGGCAAUAAUCUUAUUGUGUUGCACUUGCCUGUUCAUUAGUCUGAGUGCCUUCAAGUUCCAGGCCUGCUCCCAAGCUAUUUAGCGUACCUCCCCUAAUACAAAUAGGUCCUGGUGAAGAUCCAAUUUUACCAAAAUUAAUCUAUAAAUUCAGUGACAUCCCAAUAAAAACUUAACAAGGGUUCUAAAUUUACAUUUUUAUAAGCUAAUCCUAAAAGUCAUCUAGAAGAAAAAAAUGGGGAAAAUAUACAGGCAAAUCUUGACACAGUAAGAACAACGAGAAGGGAAUAGCCUAUCUAUAAACAUUUACCAUAAAUUGAUCAAUAGAGUGCUACUGGUAUGAGAAUAGAUAACUUAAUCAAAGGAACGGGAGUAAGAAACAGAUCCAUGGAAAUCUAGUGUACCAUAAAGGAACAUUUUAAAUUAGUAAGAAAGGACGAACUGUUCAAACUGACUAACUGGUUUGAGGACAAUGGAGUUCCCACUUGGGAAAAAUUAAGUUAGAUGUUAUAUUGGUGAUGAUUUUGCUUCCUGAAAAGAGAAUUCAAUUGCUUCAACAACCAGCAACAAAUAAUUAGAAUUUGACAUUAAAAACACAACACCAUUUAUAUUAGUACCAGAAAGAAAGAGAAGGGUGCAGGGCACGAAAAGAUAAACAGGCAGGCUUACAUGUAAAUCUAACAAAAUAUGUAUAGGAUCAAUAUGAAGAAAACUAUAACACUCUGAUGAAGGGAAACUCUGAUAAAUAAAAUAUUCCAUGUUCAUGAACAGGAAAACUCAAUGUUAUUAGACAUCAGUUCUUCCCAAUUUAAUGUACAGACUCAACACACUCCCAAUCAAAAUCCCAACAAGUCAUUGUGUGGAUGUAAGCAAACUGAUUCUACAGUCUGUAUGGGAGGUCAAAAGACCUGGAAUAACCAACACAAUACAAAAGAACAAAAAUAUUCUUCAAUAGCUGGAUGGUCAAACAAACAGUGGUACAUAAGUAAAAUGGAAUAUUACUCACUGACAAAGAGAAUGGAGCUAUCAAGUCUCAAGAAAUCAUGGAGGAAAUAUAAGUAUGUGUUGCUAAGUGAAAGAAAUUAGUCUGAAAAGGCUAUAUGCUAUGUAAUUCCAACUAUAUUACAUUCUGGAAAGGGUAAAAUUGUAGAGACAGUAGAAUGAUAAAUGGUUUCUAGUGGUUCAUGGGGGGGAUGAAUAGAUAGAGUAUGGGGCAUAUUCUAUUCUGUAUGAUACUAUGAUGGUGGAUACAUGGAUGGCACCAUACAUUUUUUUUAAUACCCACAGAAUUGUACAACUCAGAGAAUGAAUCCUAAUGUAAACUAUGGACUUCAGUUAAUAAUAAUGUGUCAAUACUGGUUCAUCAAUUAUAACAAAUGUACCACAUGAAAGCAAGAUAUUAAUAGUAGAGGAAACUGUUGCAUGCAAGGUGAAUAGAUGAGAAUUCUGUACUUUCUCAUGUGAUUUUCUGUAAACCUAGUACUGUUCUAAUAAUGUCUACUAAAAUUUUGUAAAGUAAUUAAUAUACUUGGAGAAAAUUUGGAAGCAAAAGUAACCGACAAUAGUAGAUUAAUCAUACAUUCUGGGUUCCUCAGUUCCUUAAACUUCUAGUUUAAACUUGUCUUAAUGUUCCUUCUGGAUUAGUAUUUGUCAUUCUCAAAAGUGUAUUGGGUCAGAUGAUAAUUUAUUGGUCACCCUAGACAAAAGGUUAUUUUUGCUUAUAUAUAAGAAAUUCCUAUAAAGGAAUAAGAAAAAAAGAUAAUCCAGGAGAAAAGUAGGUAACAUAUUUGAAUAAGUUUCACUUUUAAUCUGUUUACAACCAUAUUUGAAGUGGGUUUCUCAUAGAAAGUACAUAGUUGAACUGUAGUUUAAAGAAAAAAAUCCAAUCCAGUUGGAAAACUAUACCUUUUAACUGGGAUGCUUAGACCAUAUAUAUUUAAUUUUUUAUUACAGUAUUUGAAAUAGCUAUAUUAGUAUCCAUACAGAGGAGAUUUCAGAGAAAGAAAUAUUUCCAAGGACAAACACUUCAUCAAGAGGACAUAAUAAUACCAAAUAUAUAUGUCCUAAAAAGAAAAUUUAAAAUACAUGAGGCAAAAGAGAACAGCAAGGAGAAAUAGACAAACUCAUAAUCAGUUUGAGAUAGUAAGUCCUCUUGUCCUUAUUUUAUAAUUUUCUAUUUUUUCUAUAUGAGAACUUCUUUUAUUUCUUAAAUGCUUACUCAAACUUAAGGUCCUUUUCAGAUUAAUUUAUAAUUUCUAGUUUCUCUGAUAUAAAUGAUCACAUUUGAUUUGUUAAUAAGAUGUCUAUCUUGGCAUUGAACUUCCCCAUCUGUUUUAUAAUUUUUGUCUGUGAGCUCAUCUUCAACAGGAGCUAUUUUUCAUGGGAGUUCUAUAAGUACUCUGAGUUAUUAAAGCCUCCUUAGGGAUAAUUUCACUAUGGUCUUCUAUUCUUUUUUCAGGGGGUGGGGAGGAGAGUAUUGGCUUUUUCUGACCCUCUGGUUACCAAUUUUUGCUUCAUUUCUGGUAGCUAAUUUUUUUUUAAAUCACCCCUCUUUUUUUCUUUCUCCUCCUUCUCCUUCUCCUUCUUUGUUUUUGAGCUUAGUUGUAUUUUAAAAUAAAAUUUUAAAAAGUUAUACAACAUCUUGCUGUUUGGAACAGGCUUGGGAAAUUUCUGCAUCUGAUUUGAUUUCGGUUUUGAUUAGAUGUCUUAAUAGGGCUCCCACAGCAAAAUCUUGAAGUCUUUCUGUUUCUUGUCCUUUGUCUUGGAAUUAUAGAAUUAUAAUAAAUUGGGGUUGUUUUUUU